UGAGAGAAGGAAUUAGAUUCA
rnacentral:miRNA from 1 species